AGAGUUUGAUCCUGGCUCAGAACGUACGCUGGCGGCACGCCUAAUACAUGCAAGUCGAACGGAGUAGCAAUACUUAGUGGCAGACGGGUGAGUAACAUGUGGGUAUCUUCCCUUUGGUGAGGAAUAACACGAGGAAACUUGUGCUAAUACCUCAUAAGUCUUUACGGAGAAAGCUUUAUGCGCCAAUGGAUGAGCCCGCACUUGAUUAGUUUGUUGGUAGGGUAAUGGCCUACCAAGACUGUGAUCAAUAGCUGAUUUGAGAGGAUGAUCAGCCACAUUGGGACUGAGACACGGCCCAAACUCCUACGGGAGGCAGCAGUAGGGAAUCUUGCACAAUGGAGGAAACUCUGAUGCAGCGAUGCCGCGUGAGUGAAGAAGGCCUUUGGGUUGUAAAGCUCUUUCGUCGGGGAAGAAAAUGACUGUACCCGAAUAAGAAGGUCCGGCUAACUUCGUGCCAGCAGCCGCGGUAAUACGAAGGGACCUAGCGUAGUUCGGAAUUACUGGGCUUAAAGAGUUCGUAGGUGGUUAAAAAAGUUGGUGGUGAAAGCCCAGAGCUUAACUCUGGAAUUGCCAUCAAAACUUUUUAGCUAGAGUUUGAUAGAGGAAAGCAGAAUUUCUAGUGUAGAGGUGAAAUUCGUAGAUAUUAGAAAGAAUACCGAUUGCGAAGGCAGCUUUCUGGAUCAUUACUGACACUGAGGAACGAAAGCAUGGGUAGCGAAGAGGAUUAGAUACCCUCGUAGUCCAUGCCGUAAACGAUGUGUGUUAGAUGUUGGAAAUUUAUUUUCAGUAUCGCAGCGAAAGCAAUAAACACACCGCCUGGGGAGUACGACCGCAAGGUUAAAACUCAAAUGAAUUGACGGGGACCCGCACAAGUAGUGGAGCAUGUGGUUUAAUUCGAAGAUACGCGCAGAACCUUACCAACACUUGACAUGUUCGUCGCGACUCUAAGAGAUUAGAGUUUUCGGUUCGGCCGGACGAAACACAGGUGCUGCAUGGCUGUCGUCAGCUCGUGUCGUGAGAUGUUGGGUUAAGUCCCGCAACGAGCGCAACCCUCACUUUUAGUUGCCAUCAUUUAGUUGGGCACUCUGAAAGAACUGCCAGUGAUAAGCUGGAGGAAGGUGGGGAUGACGUCAAGUCCUCAUGGCCCUUACGUGUUGGGCUACACACGUGCUACAAUGGUAUCUACAACAGGAAGCAAAACAGCGAUGUUAAGCAAAUCCCAAAAAGAUACCUCAGUUCGGAUUGUACUCUGCAACUCGAGUACAUGAAGCUGGAAUUACUAGUAAUCGUGGAUCAGCGUGCCACGGUGAAUACGUUCCCGGGUCUUGUACACACCGCCCGUCACACCAUGGGAGUUGGUUCUACCUUAAGGCAAAGCUUAAAACCUUUGACCACGGUAUAGUCAGCGACUGGGGUGAAGUCGUAACAAGGUA
rnacentral:rRNA from 1 species